rnacentral:rRNA from 1 species
UACGUAGGGGCAAGCGUUGUCCGGAAUCAUUGGGCGUAAAGAGCGUGUAGGCGGCCCGGUCAGUCCGCCGUGAAAGUCCAGGGCUCAACCCUGGAAUGCCGGUGGACACUGCCGGGCUGGAGUCCGGAAGAGGCGAGUGGAAUUCCUGGUGUAGCGGUGGAAUGCGCAGAUAUCAGGAGGAACACCAAUAGCGAAGGCAGCUCGCUGGGACGUACUGACACUGAGGCGCGAAAGCGUGGGGAGCGAACAGG